UACAGAGGCCUCGAGCGUUAGGCGGAAUCACUGGGCUUAAAGCGUGUGUAGGUGGAUGCCUAAGUGCCUUGUGAAAUCCCACGGCUUAACCGUGGAAUUGCUGGGCAUACUGGGUGUCUUGAGCCACUCAGGGGCUACCGGAACAAAUGGUGGAGCGGUGAAAUGCGCAGAUAUCGGGAGGAACACCGGUGGCGAAGGCGGUUCUCUGGGCCUUACCUGACGCUGAGGAGCGAAAGCGUGGGGAGCGAACAGG
rnacentral:rRNA from 1 species